rnacentral:tRNA from 1 species
GCCUUCGUGGUGUAGUGGUCAGCACACUCAACGGGCAACCGAGAGGUCCAUGGUUCGAUUCCCGGCAAAGGCG